rnacentral:tRNA from 1 species
GCCUAGUUAGCUUAGUAGUUGGUAGUGCGUCUGCCUUGUAAGCACUAAGCCGCGGGUCCGAUUCCCGCCCGGGGCG